rnacentral:rRNA from 1 species
UACGAAGGGAGCUAGCGUUGUUCGGAAUCACUGGGCGUAAAGCGCACGUAGGCGGAUGUGUCAGUCAGGGGUGAAAUCCCGGAGCUCAACUUCGGAACUGCCUUUGAUACAGCACGUCUUGAGUCCGAUAGAGGUGGGUGGAAUUCCUAGUGUAGAGGUGAAAUUCGUAGAUAUUAGGAAGAACACCGGUGGCGAAGGCGGCCCACUGGGACGGUACUGACGCUGAGACGCGAAAGCGUGGGGAGCGAACAGG